GUUCCCAUGCCGAACACGGAAGUUAAGCUCUUCAGCGCCGAUGGUAGUUGGGGGAUCUCCCCCUGUGAGAGUAGGACAUCGCCAGGC
rnacentral:rRNA from 1 species